UACGUAGGGUGCAAGCGUUGUCCGGAAUUAUUGGGCGUAAAGAGCCCGUAGGCGGUUUGUCGCGUCGAAUGUGAAAACCCGGGGCUCAACCCCGGGCCUGCAUUCGAUACGGGCAGACUGGAGUUCGGUAGGGGAGUCUGGAAUUCCUGGUGUAGCGGUGAAAUGCGCAGAUAUCAGGAGGAACACCGAUGGCGAAGGCAGCUCACUGGGACGGUACUGACGCUGAGACGCGAAAGCGUGGGGAGCAAACAGG
rnacentral:rRNA from 1 species